AGGAGUAGGGGCUGAGCAGCGCGGCGAUGGUGUAGUGCCGGGGCCCCGAGUCGUUGGCCGUGAACACCACCUGGGACAGAACACACAGAGCACCGUUUCUCACACAGCCCAGCACGUGAGCCCCGGCCGGAGAGCCCGCUGCAAACUGACUGCAGUGACAACAAGUUCUGAGAAGCACCCAGUGGUGAAGGCCACCGCAUGUGAAAGCUUCACCCAGCAUGGGCCGCACACUGUGGCUGGCUCGUCUGAAAAGUGGGCCAUUAAGCCUGCUGCAAGUGACAUUGUCACAAAGGGGGUGCCCCUUCGUUGUUCCACGGAUGCAGCAUCUCUAUGGUACCGGGGAUGGGGGUGAAGCCUUUGGCGCCCUUCCCACAAUGGCACAUCAGCAGCAGAAGGGGUACCACUGCACGGAAACAAAAUUGAGUCC